rnacentral:rRNA from 1 species
UUGAACGCUGGCGGCAGGCCUAACACAUGCAAGUCGAACGGUAACAGGAAGAAGCUUGCUUCUUUGCUGACGAGUGGCGGACGGGUGAGUAAUGUCUGGGAAACUGCCUGAUGGAGGGGGAUAACUACUGGAAACGGUAGCUAAUACCGCAUAACGUCGCAAGACCAAAGAGGGGGACCUUCGGGCCUCUUGCCAUCGGAUGUGCCCAGAUGGGAUUAGCUAGUAGGUGGGGUAACGGCUCACCUAGGCGACGAUCCCUAGCUGGUCUGAGAGGAUGACCAGCCACACUGGAACUGAGACACGGUCCAGACUCCUACGGGAGGCAGCAGUGGGGAAUAUUGCACAAUGGGCGCAAGCCUGAUGCAGCCAUGCCGCGUGUAUGAAGAAGGCCUUCGGGUUGUAAAGUACUUUCAGCGGGGAGGAAGGGAGUAAAGUUAAUACCUUUGCUCAUUGACGUUACCCGCAGAAGAAGCACCGGCUAACUCCGUGCCAGCAGCCGCGGUAAUACGGAGGGUGCAAGCGUUAAUCGGAAUUACUGGGCGUAAAGCGCACGCAGGCGGUUUGUUAAGUCAGAUGUGAAAUCCCCGGGCUCAACCUGGGAACUGCAUCUGAUACUGGCAAGCUUGAGUCUCGUAGAGGGGGGUAGAAUUCCAGGUGUAGCGGUGAAAUGCGUAGAGAUCUGGAGGAAUACCGGUGGCGAAGGCGGCCCCCUGGACGAAGACUGACGCUCAGGUGCGAAAGCGUGGGGAGCAAACAGGAUUAGAUACCCUGGUAGUCCACGCCGUAAACGAUGUCGACUUGGAGGUUGUGCCCUUGAGGCGUGGCUUCCGGAGCUAACGCGUUAAGUCGACCGCCUGGGGAGUACGGCCGCAAGGUUAAAACUCAAAUGAAUUGACGGGGGCCCGCACAAGCGGUGGAGCAUGUGGUUUAAUUCGAUGCAACGCGAAGAACCUUACCUGGUCUUGACAUCCACGGAAGUUUUCAGAGAUGAGAAUGUGCCUUCGGGAACCGUGAGACAGGUGCUGCAUGGCUGUCGUCAGCUCGUGUUGUGAAAUGUUGGGUUAAGUCCCGCAACGAGCGCAACCCUUAUCCUUUGUUGCCAGCGGUCCGGCCGGGAACUCAAAGGAGACUGCCAGUGAUAAACUGGAGGAAGGUGGGGAUGACGUCAAAUCAUCAUGCCCUUUAUGUCUUGGGCUACACACGUACUACAAUGGAUGUUACAAAGGGAAGCGAAGUAGUGAUAUGGAGCGAAACCCAAAAAGCAUCCCCAGUUCGGAUUGUAGGCUGAAAUUCGCCUACAUGAAGCCGGAAUUGCUAGUAAUGGCAGGUCAGCAUACUGCCGUGAAUACGUUCCCGGGCCUUGUACACACCGCCCGUCACACCAUGAGAGUUGGGGAUACCCGAAGCCUGUGAGCCAACAGUUAAAUGAGGCAGCAGUCGAAGGUAGAAUCAAUGAUUGGGGUG